GUGCUCACUUCAGCGGCACAUAUACUAAUAUUGGAAUGAUACAUAGAAGAGGAGCAUGGCCCCUGUGCAAGGAUGGCAUACAAAUUUGUGAAGCAUUUCAUAUUUUC
ensembl:snRNA U6 U6 spliceosomal RNA